ACAGGAGAUAGCAUUAUGGUGGCAUAUAACAACAAGAAAUACUACAUUGAUAUCAUUGAAUCAAAGCCUUCUCAUGCAAUAACCAUAAUUGAAACUGAUUGUGAGGUCGAUUUUGCCCCUCCUCUUGAUUACAAAGAGCCUGAGAGACCUGUAGCAUCUAUCCCUUCAACCAAACCACCAUCAGAAGGUUUUAUUUAAUAUUUCUUUCAACUUCUUGAAUUUUAUUUAUAUGUUUUAUUUAUUUUUUAUUUUGUGGUGUUGUAGGUGAGGCUGCUCCAGUUGAAGAGCCAAAGUUUAAUCCGUUUACUGGAUCAGGAAGAAGGUUGGAUGGAAAGCCUUUAAAAUACCAGCCACCACCUGUUUCUGCCGCCUCCUCCACCACCAAAGACAAGCAAGUGGCGGUUUCUGGUGGUGGUGUGCCGCCACCAUCAACCGGAUCCAGCUCACAAAGCAGCUCUCGUCAGUCGCAAGGAAAACUUGUGUUUGGAUCUAAUGCUAACCGUAGU
rnacentral:lncRNA from 1 species